rnacentral:lncRNA from 1 species
CUGAGCAGGCUUCUUUCCGGAGCCUCUUGUCCUCUAAACGGGUUUUUCUGGACACUUGCAGUAGGUAAGGAGGCUGUCGACUAUGGAACUGAGCGAAGACAGGUUCGGGGCUCACCCUUACCGAUCCGCUCCGCAAACCUCGGGAAUCCCUCUGCCUCUCUGUUCUGUUGUUCUUACCUAAACAAUAAGCUAUCGGCCUCAGCUGUCUCCGGGAAACUUUGAACUCUAAGAGGGCAGGUUUUACUUGUUCUCCUCGAAAUGCAUUUCAGACUGGGAGUGGAGUGUGGGAGCGGGAACAUUAAGUUAGAGCAGGCUGCAAACCCUCCACCUGGAAAUGUGUCUGCACUGCUGUCACCAGCCUGUCUGGGUCUCGGCUCUGUCCUUCCCUUGGUGUGUCCUGGGGUAGGCGUUGAAUGAGAAAACCAUGGUUGCAGAGGCAACACAUCCUUUCCUUGAACAGUGUGCACUUGAGGAACGAAUUAAGACCCGUAAACAAGGAUGAAAGCCCCCGCCCCGCAGACUUCAGCUCCUCCUCCAUGAAGGACGCCGCCUGGGAGGUGAGUCCAGGCCGGGCCAGGGAGGGCCUCCUGUGGGAAGGUGCAUUUUCACCUUACAGCCGGGAAGUAGACAGCUGCGUCACAGUUUCACUCAUGCCGGUCUCUUCCUGUGCACAUUCAAUGUUAACAUUAUUCUGGCAAAAGCCUUGCUGCAGAUAGUCUCUCCGGUCCCUCCUACAUCUCUUUCCAGAAGACAGUUUAAAAGGACACAUUUCAUCACCUCUCAGAAGGGGUUAACAUCACAGAAUUCCAAGUCUGAGGGUGGAGCCCUGAUCCUGAGAAGGUUUUGUUGAGUUCGGGACAGUAUUUCUUUACCCAUCCUUCAUGAAGAUAAAAAAUGAGGCAAAAUAGACACUAAAAUGGUCUCUGACAUCUCCUCAUGCCACCAGACAAGGAGUAACCAUGGUAACAAGAAGCCUAGAAAAAUUGGGGAAUGAGGAAGACCAGGAAUGAGAGCUCCCCUCAGCCCUGGGGGGACCUGAGUGUCCACAGCUGAGCCUUCUCUGCUUCCCUUUUCUCUUCUGGAUUCUGAUGGAGGAUAUUUUCAUCUUCCUCCCAAAAUCAUCAGAAAGCAUAAGGACAUAUAUAAACCGCUUUGCAAAAAGAGAGUGUAUGGAAUAAAAGAGAAAAUGAAGAAGAGGAGAAAGGCUGGAGUGCAAUGGUGUGAUCUCAGCUCACUGCAGCCUCAACCUCCCUGGCUCAGGUGAUUCUCCCACCUCAGCUUCCUGAUUAACUGGGAUUACAGAACCAGAUUGAAGUUCAUCCCAGCUCUCAGCCAGAUCCUCCUGCUUCAGAUUAAGCGGAGCUGGGAAAGGACGAUCCAUGUCCAGCCCUCCCCAGGAGAGCAGUGUCACCAUCAUUUCGAAGAGCCUCCAUGUCUCUCAUGGUUUGAGGUUUGGAAACGAGAACCACAGAAGCCUGCAGUCGCUGCCUGACAGGGCGUGGGAGACCACAGCCAAAUCUCAGAGGAGUUUCUGGAGGGAAGACUCAUUCUGAAGAAUAAGAGAGAGAAGACCCAAGAACCGUGUCUUCUGAGGAGAUGAGAGAGGAGAUCAUGAGCACCAGUAAUGGUGAAAUUGCCGGUAAUCGCUAAGUAAAAACCACUGAAGAACAGGACAGAAGCCAAUGACCACCUCACCUCCACCGAGUGCCCUGCAGGAGCUGGGAGAUGGGAACAUCACUAGACCACGAGCCGGAAUUGCUGCAGGAGGAUUCCCACACUCUGGGCCUCCGUGGGCACCACGAGGACUGGACGUGCGACCCCAGCUCUCUGGGUCUCAGUUUCGUCUCCUGCAGAGCAUCUGAGCUAGACCGUCUCUAAAAUUUCAUCAAGCUCCUGUAUUCCAUUCUAUUCUGAGAUGCCCAAUUCUUAUGCCUGCUAAAAACCACAGUGAGAAAUAAUAACCUAUGUCCACAUUUUUGUUUCCUAGGAGAAAUAUCAACAUGCGUCUGCCAAAUAAAAUAUUGUAUUAAAUGAGUUAUUUCAAAAAGUAUUCUUUGACCACCUCAACAUGUGUUAAAAGGAAUGCCACAUGUUAAAAGGAAUGCCUCAUGUUACACGGAGUCCUUCUAGGGU